GACGGAGGGUGCGAGCGUUGUUCGGAGUUACUGGGCGUAAAGCGCGUGCAGGUGGUCUUUUAAGUUUCGUGUGAAAUCCCUCGGCCUAACCGAGGAACGGCGCGGAAUACUGAAGGACUCUCGAGUCCGGGAGAAGAGGGCGGAAUUCCCAGUGUAGAGGUGAAAUUCGUAGAUAUUGGGAAGAACACCAGUAGCGAAAGCGGCUCUCUAGACCGGUACUGACACUCAUACGCGAGAGCGUGGGGAGCAAACAGG
rnacentral:rRNA from 1 species